rnacentral:lncRNA from 1 species
GUCUAGACUAUGGUGGUGAUUCGAACAGUCAAGCAGUGUACACCAGCAAUAUGGCAAUGCGGCAAAGUCUUUCAAAUUUAGCUUCAGACAAAGUUCGCUCCGCACUGAGUUCUUUGUUGAAGAAUGCUAAUUUACCUGCUCUCGUUCCGAAUGGCAAUGCAGGUGGUUUCUGAGCUGCUGGAGUUGGCUUUUGCUGAUCGGAAGAAGAACCUUUGCAAGUCGUCACGUCAGCGGAUCAUAUUAUCACUCAGAAUCUCUGUGUUGAUGAAACUGGAUGUGCUGAUCGGUGUCGUGUUGCUGAAAAUUCGUUGCUCUCUGUUGCCAAAGAACGCUCUCUUCUUGACACAAAGUGUUCUGAAUUACAAAGAGCUUUAUUGAGGUCGGUAUUCUUCAGUUUGCUACUUACUGCAAUAUCUUAUUAACUUUAUUAAUCUAAGUAUAUAACUCUACAAAAAGAAAAGAGAGAAAAUAAAUAAGAAAAAAUGAAUUUAAAAUUUUCAACUGAGAGUAGAAUUUUUUAUGUAGCAAAGAACCAAUUCAAUACCUGUCUAUUUUUAAUAGAACAGCUUUUCAGUUUGUCAGCAACUGUAAUAUGCAUACUCAUUUAAUAAAAAGAAAUUAUUUUAAAUGGUAAGUAACUUUAAGACAGAUACCAUACUCCCAGGCAAUCAUCCUUCCUUUCAAUGCCUUAUCAAUUCAUUCCUUUUUCUCUGUCAGUUUAUUCCAGUUUUUAUUAUUGCAAUUCCUUUUUUGUUAUUUUUUCUAGUGAGAAGGCAAAGAAAUGUUCUCAGUGCUCAGACCUUCAAUGUCAGGUGGCUUCCCUCAAAGAGAGCUAGCAGAAAAGACAAAACCUUGCUCUCAAUGUAAACAACUGCAUAUUAAACUCAGGAACAAUAAAAAAUUUUAUCAAGAGAAACAAGAAAAAUGGAGACUUGCCUUUAAUAAUUUCCUUGAAUCUCGUCUUUUCUCUGAAGAAAAAUGCAACACUGCCAUGAGCUAUGUGUCUCAAAUGAUACCAUUUGACGAAGAUGAAGCUGAAGGUAGCAUUGAUAGCAAAAGCGUCCUCCAACAAAAGGCUACUGUUGAUACACCGAAACGAAAGUCUCCUUGUUCUGACGUAGAAUUGGAUCCUGGGAGUAGGAAGCGUAAAUCUCCCUGCAUUGAGACAGAAGAAUCAAUGGAACCGUCUGUGUCCCAUCAGCCGAAAAAAACUGUUGAAAAAAAAGGAAGAAAUGUAGAAGAUUCAAAAUUCACAAGUAAACCGUCCAGUAGCAAGGAGGCGCCGGUGAAGAAACCUGAAGUUAAAAUAGAGCCACAGGGUUUGAAUAAAUAUAAUAUUAUCGUGCCCGAAACACUGCCUAGUGAGCCUAUCUGUCCAGUUGUGGAAAAGAAAAGAAUUAUCAUUCCUGAGACUUUAUAUCCAGAAGAUGAUUUUGUGGAACCGAUGUCUGAGGAGCAUAAAACACCCAAAAAAGAGCCAACGAAUGGUGAAGAAGACAACAGCCCUGUUCUAAGUGUAUCAAAAAAACCUGGAAAACCAUUGAUCAGUGCACCAGCUGAGGAACUCAAAGUCAAAGAAGAAGAGCUCGAAACUGUAGAGAAUGAGCAAAUAUCUCCAUUAACAGCCCAUCCUAAAAGUCCCUCAGUGCUGGCAGUCGAAGAGAAUCCAUCAAUUCACCCUCUGCUUGAAUCCAAAGAUCGAAAAGUGUUGGAUGAGUUCUUUGAUGAAAUUGAAAAAAAUGCUGGUAGCUCGAGGAGAAGCAAGACUUUUAGCAAAGACAACUUAAAAGUCUCCAGCACUGAAAAGUCUAAGGCUAAAACUGAUAUGAUAACUCCUCAGAAAAAGUUAGCACUUGGAGAAAAAAGCAGCACUGAAAAGUCUAAGGCUAAAACUGAUAUUAUAACUCCUCAGAAAAAAUAGCUCUUGGAGAAAAAAAUGUCUGGUCUUUACACAAGCCUCCUGGUUUUGAUCAAAAGAAAAAAGAGGAAAAAAUCUGCCCCAAGAAAAUGAAGCAAACAACUCUAUCCGUUGUCACAGUACCUAAGAAUCAAGACGUUUCGCAUAAUGAUAGUUUUAAUGGUGGCGUACUGGCUGAAGUUAUGAAUGAUGAAAACGAUGACUCUGAUGAUAGUGAGUGUUUGAUUCUACCAAGUCCAAAGAAUGACACUCGCAACUCGUCAAGAUGUGAAAGCAAAAAUUGAAAACUGAAAGCAAGUAAGUCUUCUUAGAUAAGUUUGAAUCUAAUGAGCUUUUUUCUUUCAUCUUUAGUCAAUUUUAGCAUCACCUCAGUGCGAAAUA